rnacentral:tRNA from 1 species
GCACCGGUGGUCUAGUGGUUAUGAUUUUGGCCUUCCAAGCCGACGACCCGAGUUCGACUCUCGGCCGGUGCA